GUUGUAGUGAGCCAAGAUUGGGCCACUGCACUCCAGCCUGGACGACAGAGCAAGACUCCAUCUCAAAAAAAAAAAAAAAAAAAAGAAGAAGAAGAAGAAGAAAAAAAAGAGACACCCUCUACUUGGUGGGGGCCAGCUAGCCACAGGAAGAGCCUCCCUGAGCCUUACGGCUGUGUCAGGAAGACGAAGAUCAACAGGCCCCAUCUCUGGGCCAAUGAAGCCCGCCACUGUCUGUGGACACACAAGCCCAUCUGUGGAGGACUUGGGCCAUGUUUCAAGCAAAUAAUGUUUAUUAGGUCCCAGGUCAGCCCAUAAAAGCUCUUGGAAUCCAAAAUGUGCUUGAAGCUCAGGAUCAUUAGCUCUGGUUUUCUAAUACUUUGCUCGUUCAUUCAUUCAAUUCCUCAUUUAGUCAGCAAAUGUUUACCAGGUGCCUACCAGAUGUAGAGGUAUACAAAUUAGGUUUAGGGUGCAAGUAUAUGACCUGGGCUAGAAUGACAGUGGCUCUAACAAGACAGAGGCUGACUCCUUGCUUGUCAAAGCCACAGCUGCUGCAUUGCUCAGGCCCCUCUACCUGUUGCUCUGCAUUUCUGGAGUGAGCUCCUGUUUGUACGAUCCUCACACCUCACACCUAUACUGCUCAAGCUCCUGCAUCAGCAGGAGGACGUGAAAGAGGAAAGGCACAGCCAGGUGCUGUGCACAGCCUGCUCAUUCGGACUCCAUUGGCUGGAACUUGAUCACGUGGUCACACCCUGCUGCAAAGCUCCUGCCUCCUGAGCACCUACUACUGUGCCAGACACUGUACAAGGCCCUAGGAUACAGGAAGCAGUCAUUGUGAGAAGAACUGGAAACAUGAAGAGUCAUUCGUUGAGAAACAAAAGAUAAGCAGACAAUUCUAGAAGCUUUUGGAGACUGAAAAAGUCACACCAUGAGGAUCGAGAAUCAGAAUGGCAUCGGACUGCUUAACAUCAACCCAGAACACCACAUGCCAAUAGAGAACUGCCUUCAGAAUUCUGAGGGGAGAUGAUUUCCAACUAAGAUUUAUACCUCCAGCCAAACUGUCAAUCAAUUAUCCAAAAACUGAACUCCCAUAUGCAGCCUCCAAGGAAGCUAUUGGCGUGUAUAUUACAACAAAAUAAGGGAGUAAAGCAAGAAAGAAGAUGACUUAGGAUCUAAGAAACAAGGCACCAACACAGGACAGAGGGAAAGGGAAUUCCCAGGGUAACGUUGAAGAGAAAUUUCACAACUUCUACUACAAUGGCCAGGAGAGCAACUGAUCCAGGUAGAAGCAGGAGGGUUCCAAGAAAAAAAAACUGAACUGAUAGGUUGCCAGAUGUGUUUGACUAUAUUACGAGAAAUUUUAGAGUUUUACUGUCACGGUUUGUGGGAAGAAUUAGUAAUCUUACAUCAAAAACUAAUUAAAUUAAAAAACUGAGGUAAUUACUAACUCCAGGGAAAACAAAAAGCUGUACAAGACUGCAACUGUAACCAUAAUAUAGUCCCUUGCUUAGCUGUGAAUAAUCUAUAUGUAGAUAUGAUACGGUAAAAACUGAGUGUUGAUUUAGCAACUGUGAUAGGACUAUCUUGGAAGGAAAAGUGUGUGUUUGUGGAUGGUGACUGGUGGAGAACCAGCAAUUUUCCACAGGAGGAAGCCAAUACAUAAUAUCCAAAAAAAAAAAAAAAAAAUACAUCUAGAGAAUGAUAUUUAGAAAUA